GCCAUUAGCUAGCUCUCUGCAACUCUCACAUGGUCACUGAAGCUAAGCAGGGCUGAGCCUGGUCAGUACCUGGAUGGGAGACCACAUGGGAAAGCUAGGUUGCUGCUAGAA
rnacentral:rRNA from 1 species